rnacentral:rRNA from 1 species
CCACGGGGGGCAGCAGUGGGGAAUAUUGGACAAUGGGGGGAACCCUGAUCCAGCCAUGCCGCGUGUGUGAAGAAGGCCCUCGGGUUGUAAAGCACUUUCAGUGAGGAAGAACGCCUGGUGGUUAAUACCCAUCAGGAAAGACAUCACUCACAGAAGAAGCACCGGCUAACUCCGUGCCAGCAGCCGCGGUAAUACGGAGGGUGCGAGCGUUAAUCGGAAUUACUGGGCGUAAAGCGCGCGUAGGUGGCUUGAUAAGCCGGUUGUGAAAGCCCCGGGCUCAACCUGGGAACGGCAUCCGGAACUGUCAAGCUAGAGUGCAGGAGAGGAAGGUAGAAUUCCCGGUGUAGCGGUGAAAUGCGUAGAGAUCGGGAGGAAUACCAGUGGCGAAGGCGGCCUUCUGGACUGACACUGACACUGAGGUGCGAAAGCGUGGGUAGCAAACAGGAUUAGAUACCCGUGUAGUC